GACGAACGCUGGCGGCGUGCCUAAUACAUGCCAGUCGAACGAGAGCGACCGGUGCUUGCCCUGGUCAAUCUAGUGGCGAACGGGUGAGUAACACGUGGGUAACCUGCCCAUCAGAGGGGGAUAACAUCCGGAAACGGAUGCUAAAACCGCCUAGGUCUUCGAACCGCAUGGUUUGAAGAGGAAAAGAGGCGCAAGCUUCUGCUGAUGGAUGGACCCGCGGUGCAUUAGCUAGUUGGUGAGGUAACGACUCACCAAGGCCGUGAUGCAUAGCCGACCUGAGAGGGUGAUCGGCCACAUUGGGACUGAGACACGGCCCAGACUCCUACGGGAGGCAGCAGUAGGGAAUCUUCCGCAAUGGACGCAAGUCUGACGGAGCAACGCCGCGUGAGUGAAGAAGGUUUUCGGAUCGUAAAACUCUGUUGUUAGAGAAGAACAAGUGCUAGAGUAACUGUUAGCGCCUUGACGGUAUCUAACCAGAAAGCCACGGCUAACUACGUG
rnacentral:rRNA from 1 species